UGGGGAAUCUUCCGCAAUGGACGAAAGUCUGACGGAGCAACGCCGCGUGAGUGAUGACGGCCUUCGGGUUGUAAAGCUCUGUUAAUCGGGACGAAUGGUUCUUGUGCGAAUAGUGCAAGGAUUUGACGGUACCGGAAUAGAAAGCCACGGCUAACUACGUGCCAGCAGCCGCGGUAAUACGUAGGUGGCAAGCGUUGUCCGGAAUUAUUGGGCGUAAAGCGCGCGCAGGCGGAUUGGUCAGUCUGUCUUAAAAGUUCGGGGCUUAACCCAGUGAUGGGAUGGAAACUGCCCAGCUAGAGUAUAGGAGAGGAAAGUGGAAUUCCUAGUGUAGCGGUGAAAUGCGUAGAUAUGAGGAAGGACACCAGUGGCGAAGGCGAGGUUCUGGACGAAAACUGACGCUGAGGCGCGAAAGGCAGGGGAGCGAACGGG
rnacentral:rRNA from 1 species